GGCUCAACUUCAUGUCCGCGACGGCUCGGCUGGCCCAUACGUCCGCUCUCUCCCGCUAAUCGUCUCGAUCGAUCGGCCUGCACCUUCUCUCUCUCUCCACCUUGUCUCUUUGAUCCAAUCCAGAGGCCAGGCCAUCUCUUCCAAUCCCCGUGCCGACCAUCGCCGUGCGCCCCCACGACCCUGCCCGCCGCCGUCGCCUUCACCUCCCGCUCCGGCAUCUCCGCCUUCUCGCGCGCCCUCCCUUCCUCCCGCUACCUCCUCUCCGAUCCACGGCCAUGUGCAUCCCUAAGCUGUGGCCUGAGGCAGUUGUCCUAUCCACCGCUAUCCGGCCUUGAUUCAGGUCGCCAAGUCCUCUCUCACAAGCCGAUUCGAGGAAGCUGGAGUGCAGCUCAGGGCACUUGUUCGACGAAAUGCCAGGAAGAAGUCCAAGCUGUACCACCUACAUGGUCGCGCUGGUGUGCAGCUCCACUGGGCUGUUUAGCUGAUGGUCUGCUAGUGUUUAGUCGCUGGCUGUUCAUGUAGACAAUUCCUAUCUAUAUGCAAUGCUUUUGGAUAUUAUUUGUUAAGUAAUUGCUAUGUGAUUUGUAAAGUAUUUUAUAUUGUCAUGCC